AGGAUUGAAGGGGAUUAAGGGGGA
rnacentral:miRNA from 1 species